rnacentral:rRNA from 1 species
GGAUUUAUUGGGCGUAAAGCGAGCGCAGGUGGUUUAAUAAGUCUGAUGUAAAAGGCAGUGGCUCAACCAUUGUGUGCAUUGGAAACUGUUAGACUUGAGUGCAGGAGAGGAGAGUGGAAUUCCAUGUGUAGCGGUGAAAUGCGUAGAUAUAUGGAGGAACACCGGUGGCGAAGGCGGCUCUCUGGACUGUAACUGACGCUGAGGCUCGAAAGCGUGGGGAGCAA